UACAGAGGGGGCAAGCGUUGUUCGGAAUUACUGGGCGUAAAGGGCGCGUAGGCGGCCUGCUAAGUCGAACGUGAAAUCCCCGGGCUCAACCCGGGAACUGCGUCCGAUACUGGUUGGCUUGAAUCCGGGAGAGGGAUGCGGAAUUCCAGGUGUAGCGGUGAAAUGCGUAGAUAUCUGGAGGAACACCGGUGGCGAAGGCGGCAUCCUGGACCGGUAUUGACGCUGAGGCGCGAAAGCCAGGGGAGCGAACGGG
rnacentral:rRNA from 1 species